rnacentral:lncRNA from 1 species
AAGUCAGUUAAGGGGGUAAAGAUUGAUUAACAUAGAAUAAUUUGUGCUGUAUUUAACGCCUACCCAUCAUAUUUUUAUCGGUUAUGUUUUGUACAUAUUUAGCAGCUUCCCUUGAAUACUUAGUUUUGACAAGUUCUUGACGGACCCGGAAGUAUUUGGCCGUGUUUUGUCGGCCGUCAUUACGCUGCGUUCAAAACAACUGGAAAGUCUGUCAGAUAAUGACGACAGUGACCUUCAUUUCGGAAAGUGAUGACGCGAAUGCCGACCGGCUUGUAGGGGCAGACAACGGAUGCAUUUAUUUUAUCUGGAGCAGGAACCAGUGUGUCCAGUGUGCGGGCAUGUUACAGGCGAACCCACAACGGUUUGGUGCAACGUGGCCCAUCCUGUUCUGCUGAACCGGCAACGGGACCUGUCCUGGAUGGUCGCCCGCGAGAUCCUUCCAGUCAGGGCCGUUAUGCACUCCCAGGGCAUGGCGAGGACACCCGAGUGCCCCCGACCAGACUGCGGCCAAGAUGAGUCGGUGAGGCACUUGCUCUGGGAGUGCAGAGCCGCCAGGGACCUGUGGAAGGAAGCAGGCCCCCUGAUCUCCUCGUGUCUGCCAGCAGGGGACGACCUAACGCCCCAGCACGUGCUGUAUGGGGUGGGCCGAAGGCCUAUUCCAGCGAAGGCCUUCCCCAAGCUCUGACCCACCCUCACGUGUCUGAAGGAUGCACUGUGGUCCUCCCGCAACCUGCUGGUAGCAAAAUGAGUAGAGACCAUCCCCCAGGUAGUGGCCAUGGUAGCCACGGAAGCCCUGGGAUGGUACAGAAGAAAGGAGGCCUCGACCCCCAGGCGUAGGGUCCCCCACAACACCCAAGGUCCCGGCAGCCACUGCCUGACAGUGCUGCGGCGCCUAGGGCGAUGCGCCUAGGGGAGGGAUCUCCUCUGGGCCCCGAAGGACAGGACGGUUAUUGAUUCGGAAGAGCAGGAGGAGGCGAGUUGAUAAGGACUCACCCGUUCCUGUACAAAGGACCGAAGACAGCUUUUUAACAAAGUGACCUUUUAACAUGUUUUCAUGUCUUUAAAAAAUUAUUUUGUACACAUUUUAAAUGGCUUUUACAGAUUGGAUGUUUUACAAGAAAAAGUACUUUUAUUCAUGGUUGUUUCUAUUGUUUUUAAAUAAGCAACAUGUACUUUUUAACAAAUUUAAAUGUAAUAUUCUAAUAUUCUAACUCUAAUUCUCUCUUUCUCUUUCUUUCUUUCUCUCUCUCGGAGGACCUGAGCCCUAGGACCAUGCUUCAGGACUACCUGGCUUGAUGACUCCUUGCUGUCCCCAGUUCACCUGGCCGUGCUGCUGCUCCAGUUCCAACUGUUCUGCCUGCAGCUAUGGAACCCUGACCUGUUCACCGGACGUGCUACCUGUCCCAGACCUGAUGUCCCAGACCUGCUGGAACCCUGACCUAUUCACCGGACGUGCUACCUGUCCCAGACCUGCUGUUUUCAACUCUCUAGAGACAGCAGGAGCGGUAGAGAUACUCUCAAAGAUCGGCUAUGAAAUAGCCAACUGACACUUACUCUUGUGUUACUGACUUGUUGCACCCUCGACAACUACUAUGAUUAUUAUUAUUUGACCAUGCUGGUCAUUUAUGAACAUUUGAACAUCUAGGCCAUGUGCUGUUAUUAUCUCCACCCGGCACAGCCAGAAGAGGACUGGCCACCCCUCAUAGCCUGGUUCCUCUCUAGGUUUCUUCCUAGGUUUUGGCCUUUCUAGGGAGUUUUUCCUAGCCACCAUGCUUCUACACCUGCAUUGCUUGCUGUUUGGGGUUUUAGGCUGGGUUUCUGUACAGCACUUUGAGAUAUCAGCUGAUGUAAGAAGGGCUAUAUAAAUACAUUUGAUUUGAUAUUCAAAUGCUGUUUUUAUGCCUUUAUGCCGUUUUUAUGUGUAUAAAUGUUGUACAAAUAUAAUUGAGCUGUUUUUAAAGGAAGUGUAACAAUAAAACUUUUCCAAAAGAAAAAAAAAGAACACAGAUACUGGACAGAGGAACUCUGCCUAGAAGGCCAGCAUCUUCACUGUUGACAUUGAGACUGGUGUUUUGUGGGUACUAUUUAAUGAAGCUGCCAGUUGAGGACUUGUGAGGAGUCUGUUUGUCAAACUAGACACUCUAAUGUACUUGUCCUCUUGAUCAGUUGUGCACCGGGGCCUCCCACUCCUCUUUCUAUUCUGGUUAGAGCCAGUUUUCACUGUUCUGUGAAGGGAGUAGUACAUCGCAUUGUACGAGAUCUUCAGUUUCUUGGCAAUUUCUCGCAUGGAAUAGCCUUCAUUUCUCAACAAGAAUAGACUGACGAGUUUCAGAAGAAAUUUCUUUGUUUCUAGCCAUUUUGAGCCUGUAAUCGAACCCACAAAUGCUGAUGCUCCAGAUACUCAACUAGUCUAAAGAUGGCCAGUUUUAUUGCUUCUUUAAUCAGACAACAGUUUUCAGCUGUGCUAACACAAUUGCAAAAUAGUUUUCUAAUGAUCAAUUAGCCUUUUAAAAUGACAAACUUGGAUUAGCUAACACAACGUGCCAUUGGAACACAGAAGUGAUGGUUGCUGAUAAUGGGCCUCUGUAUGCAUAUGUAAAUAUUCCAUUACAAGUGAAAAAGUAGUCAUUUACAACAUUAACAAUGUGUACACUGUAUUUCUGAUCAAUUUAAUGUUAUUUUAAUGGACAAAAAAUUAGCUUUUCUUUCAAAAACAAGGACAUUUCUAGGUGACCCCAAACUUUUGAACGGUAGUGUACAUGUAGGUAGAGUUAUUAAAGUGGCUAUGCAUAAAUAAUAACAGAGAGUAGCAGCAUCGUAAAAGGAGGGGAGGGAGGCAAUGCAAAUAGUCUGGGUAGCCAUUUGAUUCGAUGUGUCGUAUCUGUGACUAUCAUUAAAUGUGAAGACUGUUAUUUUAUCAAAUCAAUUCUUUAUGUGUAAUUAUUAUUACGUGAUUAAACUAAUCAUGUAAACUUUAAUUAACUAUGAAUUCGGGGCACCACGGGAAAAGGUUUAUAGAGUCUCUAUUUCCCGAAUCGACUCUUCAGAUAUUUUUAUAUCUUUUUCGAUUAGUCUUCAAUUAAUGUAUCAUUAUUACCUCAUCAGUUCUCAUUACUGAAUGUCGCAAAACCUUGGAUAUCUGCACGAAUCCUAGUCUCCAUAAUGAAUCAGCGACCUACAAAUUGGCAUAAUUAUUUAUUUACUAACUUACUAAACAAAUCACAGUAAUACAUAAACAAAUAAUAUAGUUAUUUAUUACGAACACAAUGCAUUGAUAAGUCCCUAGUGGGCUAAACCGGUAUGAUGGCUUGGUAGACAAUGGAAAGGGGUGGGGACAGGAAAAAAGCAGGAAAGACAAAAUGGAUUCACUACACACAGUAUAUCACUGGGGCCAAGCUUCCUGCCAUCCAGGACCUAUAUACUAGUGUCAGAGGAAAGCCCAAAAAAUUGUCAGAAAUUCCAGUCACCGUAGUCAUAGACUGUUUUCUCUGUUACCGCAUGGCAAGUGGUACCGGGGCGCCAAGUCUAGGACCAAAAGGCUCCUUAACAGCUUCUACCCCCAAGCCAUAAGCCUGCUGAACAAUUAAUAAAAUGGCAACCGGACUAUUUACAUUGACACCGCCCCCUCCAUUUGUUUUGUACACUGCUGCUACUCGCUGUUUAUUAUCUAUGCAUAGUCACUUCACCCCUUCCUCCAUGUACAAAUUACCUUGACUAACCUGUACCCCUGUACAUUGACUCGGUACCGGUACCCCCUGUAUAUAGCCUGUAUAUACACUGCUCAAAAAAAU